AUUGAACGCUGGCGGCAGGCCUAACACAUGCAAGUCGAGCGGAUGAAGGGAGCUUGCUCCUGGAUUCAGCGGCGGACGGGUGAGUAAUGCCUAGGAAUCUGCCUGGUAGUGGGGAUAACGUCCGGAAACGGGCGCUAAUACCGCAUACGUCCUGAGGGAGAAAGUGGGGGAUCUUCGGACCUCACCCUAUCAGAUGAGCCUAGGUCGGAUUAGCUAGUUGGUGGGGUAAAGGCCUACCAAGGCGACGAUCCGUAACUGGUCUGCGAGGAUGAUCAGUCACACUGGAACUGAGACACGGUCCAGACUCCUACAGGAGGCAGCAGUGGGGAAUAUUGGACAAUGGGCGAAAGCCUGAUCCAGCCAUGCCGCGUGUGUGAAGAAGGUCUUCGGAUUGUAAAACACUUUAAGUUGGGAGGAAGGGCAGUAAGUUAAUACCUUGCUGUUUUGACGUUACCAACAGAAUAAGCACCGGCUAACUUCGUG
rnacentral:rRNA from 1 species